rnacentral:rRNA from 1 species
UGGGGAAUAUUGCACAAUGGGGGAAACCCUGAUGCAGCGACGCCGCGUGAACGAAGAAGGUAUUCGUAUCGUAAAGUUCUGUCCUAUGGGAAGAUAAUGACAGUACCAUAGAAGAAAGCUCCGGCUAAAUACGUGCCAGCAGCCGCGGUAAUACGUAUGGAGCGAGCGUUGUCCGGAAUUAUUGGGCGUAAAGGGUACGCAGGCGGUUUAAUAAGUCGAAUGUUAAAGAUCGGGGCUCAACCCUGUAAAGCAUUGGAAACUGAUAAACUUGAGUAGUGGAGAGGAAAGUGGAAUUCCUAGUGUAGUGGUGAAAUACGUAGAUAUUAGGAGGAAUACCAGUAGCGAAGGCGACUUUCUGGACACAAACUGACGCUGAGGUACGAAAGCGUGGGGAGCAAACAGG